CCUACGGGCGGCAGCAGUGGGGAACAUUGGACAAUGGGGGGAACCCUGAUCCAGCCAUGCCGCGUGUGUGAAGAAGGCCCUCGGGUUGUAAAGCACUUUCAGUGAGGAAGAACGCCUGGUGGUUAAUACCCAUCAGGAAAGACAUCACUCACAGAAGAAGCACCGGCUAACUCCGUGCCAGCAGCCGCGGUAAUACGGAGGGUGCGAGCGUUAAUCGGAAUUACUGGGCGUAAAGCGCGCGUAGGUGGCUUGAUAAGCCGGUUGUGAAAGCCCCGGGCUCAACCUGGGAACGGCAUCCGGAACUGUCAAGCUAGAGUGCAGGAGAGGAAGGUAGAAUUCCCGGUGUAGCGGUGAAAUGCGUAGAGAUCGGGAGGAAUACCAGUGGCGAAGGCGGCCUUCUGGACUGACACUGACACUGAGGUGCGAAAGCGUGGGUAGCAAACAGGAUUAGAUACCCGUGUAGUC
rnacentral:rRNA from 1 species